CUUGUUAAGAAGACUCAAGAAAGAACAGGAAUAAAUCCACAUGAGUGUUUACCAGAACAAACAGAUUAUAGCAGGAAGAACGAGGGCUUGGAAAAGUCCACAAAUAGAAUGGUGAGUACUCGGCAGGAUGCAAAGCAAGGUGCUGAGAUUCAGAAAAGGAAGGAAACAGAUAACAGUGAACUUAAUUGCAGCAUUGAGGAAAUGGAAGGUAUUGCAAUAAGGGUAAGGCAAUUGCUGAUGUGAUAGAUACUGGAAGAAGGGGCAGCAGAUUGAUCCAGGGCCUUCACAACCCCUAAAUUCCAAGUUGAUAUGAUUAUUGUCACUUGCAAUAUUAGGGGCUAAACCUAGCCCAUAAGCAGAAAGAGUUGAAGAUCCUUCUUGCUAUAAAUAAAGUAGAUGUUAUGGGCUGUAUACAGACUAGAGUAAAAGAGCACAAAGCAAAGAAAAUCCAAGGAAAGAUUGCAAAAGGAUGGAAUGUAUGUUGCAACUAUUCAAAAGCUGUGAAUGGGAGAAUUUGGCUUCUUUGGAAAGCUCAUAUCCAGGUUCAAAUCACCCAUAUGACUGACCAGUUCAUUCAGUGCUAUAUUGAAGAUACUAACAGUCAAUUCAAAACAAACCUAAGUAUCAUUUAUGCUCAAAAUAAUGGUAACCAAAGAGAACAGUUGUGGAGAGAUCUGAGACAAAUGUAUAUACCUAAUCAAGACACUUGGUUGUUUAGUGGUGAUUUUAAUAAUGUUUUAAAUUCUGAAGAUAGAAUUGGCUCACCUGUAACUGAUGCUGAAGUAAAAGGGUUAAAAGAUGUCAUUGAUGAUUUACAGCUUACUCCUCUCAGAGCUAAAGGUUGGAACUUCACUUGAACAAACAAGCAGGGUUCUGCAACAAGGGUGUACAGCAAGAGUGAUUGGGCAUUGGGUAAUUACAAGUGGAUUCAACAGUAUGGGUAUAUAGAAGCUGAUUUUAUGAAUCCAUCAGUAUCUGACCAUUCUCCCAUCCUUAUCAAAUGCGGUAGGCAGAAGUUGUUGCAUCCUAAACCUUUAAGAUUGUAUACAAAUAUUAUGGAGAAUCCUUAGUUCCAAAAAACUAUACGUUGCAUCCUAAACCCUUCAGAUUGUAUACAAAUAUUAUGGAGAAUCCUCAGUUCCAAAAAAUAAUACAAGUCAUGAAACAAGACUAUGUGGGAGCACCUAUGCAGCAGAUAUGGAGUAAAUUAAAGAAUAUGAAAGAAUAGCUAAAGGAGAUAAAUGCUUAUAUGGCGUCAUAUAGACAAAAACUUGAGCAGGCUAGAGAGAAAAUGGG
rnacentral:lncRNA from 1 species